AUGCAGUCGCCCAUCGACCGCUCUGACCGCCAUGCCACGCAGACGCCCAAUCUCGGGUACCUCAACCACUCCUACCGCCCCGCCGAGGCCUCCAUCGUCAACCGUGGCCAUGACAUCGCGGUGAUGUUCCGCGGCGACGCCGGGAGCCUGUGGAUUAAUGGCACCGCCUACCACCUCAAGCAGCUGCACUGGCACUCCCCCAGCGAGCACCGUGUGAACGGCCGUCGGUACAACCUGGAGCUUCACAUGGUUCACCUCAGCGCCGAAAACAAGGCUGCCGUGAUCGGCCGCCUCUAUAAGAUCGGCAGGCGCGACCAUUUCCUGCACGAGCUGGAGCCUUACCUGAAGAGGAUGGCAGACACCAAGGAGAAGGAGGAGAUGGUAGGCAUGGUGGAUCCCUGGGAGGCCAGGGGAGAUGGUGAAGCCUACUACCGGUACAUGGGCUCCCUCACCACGCCGGGGUGCGACGAGGGAGUCAUCUGGACCGUUAUCAAGAGGGUUGCUACUGUGUCGAGUCACCAAUUGAAGCUUCUCACCAACGUCGUCGAUGACCUAAUUAAGGCUUUCAGAUGA
rnacentral:rRNA from 1 species